GGGCUUUCAAGGGAAACAAGGAAUCAAAGGUGAAGAAGGACAACAAGGGCCAACGGGAGCGAUGGGUGAAGGUGGUUCUGCUGGAACAAGUGGAUACAUUGGUGCUCAGGGCCCAGCAGGCGGCCC